AUUGAACGCUGGCGGCAUGCUUUACACAUGCAAGUCGAACGGUAACAGGUUAAGCUGACGAGUGGCGAACGGGUGAGUAAUGCAUCGGAACGUGCCCGAACGUGGGGGAUAACGAAGCGAAAGCUACGCUAAUACCGCAUACGAUCUGAGGAUGAAAGCGGGGGACCGUGAAGACUCGCGCGAUCGGAGCGGCCGAUGUCAGAUUAGGUAGUUGGUGGGGUAAAGGCUAACCAAGCCGACGAUCUGUAGCUGGUCUGAGAGGACGACCAGCCACACUGGGACUGAGACACGGCCCAGACUCCUACGGGAGGCAGCAGUGGGGAAUUUUGGACAAUGGGCGAAAGCCUGAUCCAGCCAUGCCGCGUGCAGGAUGAAGGCCUUCGGGUUGUAAACUGCUUUUGUACGGAACGAAAAGGUUUGGCCUAAUAAGCUGAGCUCAUGACGGUACCGUAAGAAUAAGCACCGGCUAACUACGUGCCAGCCGCCGCCGUAA
rnacentral:rRNA from 1 species